rnacentral:pre_miRNA from 1 species
AGGAGCAACAGCCCUAGUGGCGGGGCCAGCUCUGGAAACCUGGAUUCAGCUCCGGCAGUAACUCCGGAGCUCUCCGUCUGCAGGGCCUGGAGGCUCCGGGGCGGG